rnacentral:rRNA from 1 species
UACGAGAGGCCCAAACGUUAUUCGGAUUUACUGGGCUUAAAGAGUUCGUAGGCGGCGCAGAAAGUAGGGUGUGAAAGCCCUCGGCCUAACCGAGGAAUUGCGCUCUAAACUACUGUGCUUGAGGAAUCUAGAGGUGAGCGGAACUGAUGGUGGAGCGGUGAAAUGCGUUGAUAUCAUCAGGAACACCGGAGGCGAAGGCGGCUCACUGGGGAUUUUCUGACGCUGAGGAACGAAAGCCAGGGGAGCAAACAGG